UUGAUGUGUAAACUUGCUCAGUGUGACCUGACGCAAACUUUAUUAAUGUUCUUAUUACUAUCUAGCAACAUAUAACAUUAUAUCUGACAACAUUACAAGUUUUGGCAACAUAAGAUUACAUAAAUAUCGAUAACAAUGUGAUUAAGCUCAGGUUAGCCCGCUCGGCCGAGUGGCUGCUGGUCCGGCCACCGAGGAUGCGUUGCCUGUGGAUUGGCUCGAUCAACCGAGUGGCUGCUGGUCCGGCCACCCGGGAUGCGUAUGGGUCUGGAGGAUGUUUUGACUUUUGAUGUGCGGAGAAUUUGGUUUGCUGCAGAUUUGGUUUAUAUUUUGUAGGUUUGGUGGUAAAUUGUCGGCAUUCAAGUUAAGUAAUUUUAGUUUUUAUAUUUUUUGGCUUUUAUUGAAUAUAUUUUUUUUUUAUUUUCAAGUUGAUUCCCUGGAUGUUGUGUUGGGAUGUCUUCUGGUUGCUUGCUUAGUUGCUGACGUUUUAAAUUUUGUUUUAUUUUCAGGUUUGCUGCAGAUUUGGUUUAUAUUUUAUAGGUUUGGUGGUAAAUUGUCGGCAUUCAA